rnacentral:rRNA from 1 species
CAAGUCGAACGGGCCUGGUCUUCGGAUCAGGUCANUGGCGUAAGGGUGAGUAAGGCGACGGCAACCAACCCCAUGGUUGGGCAUAGCCGCGGGAAACUGCGGGUAAUUCCCAGCGAUGUUCGUGUCGGGCAUCCGGUACGAACCAAAGUUUCGGCGCCGUGGGACGGGCCGUCGUGGUAUUAGGUAGUUGGCGGGGUAAUGGCCCACCAAGCCUAUGAUGCCUACCGGGCGUGCGAGCGUGGCCCGGCACACUGGGACUGAGACACUGCCCAGACUCCUACGGGAGGCUGCAGUCGAGAAUCUUCGGCAAUGGGCGCAAGCCUGACCGAGCGACGCCGCGUGGAGGAUGAAGGCCUUCGGGUUGUAAACUCCUGUCGAGGGGGAGGAAGGCGCAAGCUUGACCUAUCCCUGGAGGAAGCACGGGCUAAGUUCGUGCCAGCAGCCGCGGUAAGACGAACCGUGCGAACGUUAUUCGGAAUCACUGGGCUUAAAGCGCGUGUAGGCGGAUGGGGACGUCGGUUGCUGAAAUCCCCCGGCUCAACCGGGGAACGGGCACCGAAACGCCCCGUCUGGAGGGACGUAGGGGGACCUGGAACUUCCGGUGGAGCGGUGAAAUGCGUUGAGAUCGGAAGGAACGCCCGUUGGCCGAAAGCGAGGUCCUGGACGUUUUCUGACGCCUGAAGACGCGAAAGCUAGGGGGAAGCGAACGGGAUUAGAUACCCCGGUAGUCC